UACGGAGGGUGCAAGCGUUAAUCGGAAUUACUGGGCGUAAAGCGUGCGUAGGCGGUUCGUUAAGUCUGUUGUGAAAGCCCCGGGCUCAACCUGGGAAUUGCGAUGAAGACUGCAAGGCUUGAAUCUGGCAGAGGGGGGUAGAAUUCCACGUGUAGCAGUGAAAUGCGUAGAGAUGUGGAGGAACACCGAUGGCGAAGGCAGCCCCCUGGGUCAAGAUUGACGCUCAUGCACGAAAGCGUGGGGAGCAAACAGG
rnacentral:rRNA from 1 species